UAGGGGCUGGGGGAGGAGACAGGGGAGGAGACACAGGAGGAGGAAAAAGGAGAGUUUCGAAGCGGUGUUGGCUGCCACUGCAGUACGAAUGAGCGCGCGGGACCGGCUGGAGAAUGUCCUGGAGGAGCUGGAAGAGAUGGACUUCAAGAAGUUCAAGGUGAAGCUGAACCAGGCGCAGCCACCCUCGGGCUGCAGCAACAUCCCGCGGGGUCGGCUGGAGCGGGCAGACUAUCUCGAUGUAUGCAGCCUGAUGAUCAGCUACUACCUGGAGACAGGGGCUAUACAGAUGGCCAAGCAGGUGCUGGAGGACAUCAACCAGAGGGCCUUGGCUGCCAGGCUGGAGGGGGUAUAAGAGGGGAAUCUAAUGAAAAAGGAAACAUCCCAGACAACAAAAUGCACUUUCCCCUCUAAAGAGCUCCAAAUCCUGCCACACAGAGACAGCAAGAAAACUCAUGAUCCUGCCACCCACCUGGGUCUCUCGGCACAUGCCCGUGGUCAACGAUGAAGGUCACAGAAGCAUUGCAGACACCUUUCUCUGCCAUUCCUGCCUCGCUCCAAUUCCUGCCUUGGUGUCUUACGGCUUUUGCCUUUCCCUGCUCAGGAUGACCACAGAUUUCCAUCAUUCCUAUUUUUGAACAAAUAAAGAGAUAUUUUUACAGUU